AGCAGCCGCGGUAAUUCCAGCUCCAAUAGCGUAUAUUAAAGUUGUUGCAGUUAAAAAGCUCGUAGUUGAAUUUCGGGGUCAGUAGGUUGGUCGUGCCACGGGUAUGUACUGGUCUCACUGAUUCCUCCUUCCUGAUGAACCGUAAUGCCAUUAAUUUGGUGUUGCGGGGAAACUGGACUGUUACUUUGAAAAAAUUAGAGUGUUUAAAGCAGGCUAACGCUUGAAUACAUUAGCAUGGAAUAAUGAAAUAGGACGUUGAUCUUAUUUUGUUGGUUUCUAGGAUUGACGUAAUGAUUAAUAGGGAUAGUUGGGGGCAUUAGUAUUCAAUUGUCAGAGGUGAAAUUCUUGGAUUUAUUGAAGACUAACUACUGCGAAAGCAUUUGCCAAGGAUGUUUUCAUUAAUCAAGAACGAAAGUUAGGGGAUCGAAGACGAUCAGAUACCGUCGUAGUCUUAACCAUAAACUAUGCCGACUAGGGAUCGGAUGAUGUUAAUUUUUUAAUGAAUCAUUCGGCGCCUUAC
rnacentral:rRNA from 1 species